rnacentral:tRNA from 1 species
AGGAGAGAUGGCCGAGUGGUUCAAGGCGUAGCAUUGGAACUGCUAUGUAGGCUUUUGUUUACCGAGGGUUCGAAUCCACCACUUAUUCC